rnacentral:tRNA from 1 species
UGUGUGUAAUUUAAAUAAAAUAUCAAGCUGUGACCUUGAAAAUAGACACUCUCACACACCG